rnacentral:misc_RNA from 1 species
GCCGAGUGGAGGCACUGUUCCCAGUGCAUCCCGAGGCAUUCCUACGUUCAGAGCACGCAGAGGAAGCACUCGCGCUCUCCGUAAAAUACGAUAUUCCUUCUAUCCGCAAACCAUUGUACUACACCGUCGCGACGCACAUGCACGACCACGAGUCUCCAGAUGACUCCUCAAAAGCCCCUUCCAGCCUUCCCCCAGAAAUUACUGCG